rnacentral:lncRNA from 1 species
GGGUAAUCUGCUGUCUUGAUGAUAUACUUAUCACAGGGCGUGACACAGAAGAGCAAAUGAGACAUUUUGAAGAAAGUGCUAAAAAGACUCAAAGUCUGCACUCGGAAGGUUAAAAGAGAGAAAUGUUCUUUCUUCCAGAACUGCGUAGCCUAUCUAGGUCAUGUGAUAGAUGCAGAGGGGAUACACCCCAUGAAACAGAAAACUGAAGCUAUUGAGAAGGCUUGCAUUCCUACAAACACCACUGAGCUCAGAUCUUUUCUUUCAUUAUUUAACUAUUAUGGCAAAUUCAUUCCAAAUCUGUCUACCAUAGUUAAGCCUAUGACUGCUCUACUGCAGAAAGAUGUGAAAUGGGAAUGGUCACAGAAAAGCUGAAGGAGGAAGCUAAGAGACAUCUACUUCCUAGCCAGGUGUUAGUUCACUACAACCCGGAGCUACCGCUCAUACUUGCCUGUGAUGCUUCAACGGGACUGGAAUAAUAUUCUCAGAAGUGGUGGGUGGUGUGCGCACCUCCGAAGUCUGACCAGAAGACCACUCCGUCUUCCUCUUCUCCGGCUGCGUUGUUUUGGGUCAGCCUCUGGGAUCAGUUCAAAUGCACUGGUUGGUGCGGACAAAGGAUCCACUUCGGGAAAGUCGUAUUCCUUGUCAUAGUGCUGAGUCGUGGCUGAACGACUACAUGAAUAACAAACAGCUGGCGGGUUUUAAGCUUUUUUCGGCAGGAUAGAACAGCGGCCUUUGGUAAGACAAGGGGUGGCGGUCUAUUUAUAUUUGUAAACAACAGCUGGUGCACGAAAUCUCAGGAAGUCUCAAGGUUUUGCUCACCUGAGCUAGAGUAUCUCAUGAUAAACUGUAGACCACACUCUUUACCAAGAGAGUUUCCAUCUGUAUUUUUCAUAGCUGUCUAUAUACCACAGACAGAUUACCACCACAAACCAAUGCUGGCACUAAGACCACACUCAAUGAGCUGUAAGCAACAACACAUCCGCCAAGCUGAUCCUCAACACGUCGGCACCUCAGAGGUGCAUGCUCAGUCCCCUCCUGUACUCCCUGUUCACUCAUGACUGCAUGGCCAGGCACGACUCCAACACCAUCAAGUUUGCCGAUGACACAACAGUAGUAGGCCUGAUCACCAACGACAAUGAGACAGCCUAUAG